rnacentral:rRNA from 1 species
UACGUAGGUGGCGAGCGUUGUCCGGAAUUACUGGGUGUAAAGGGAGCGUAGGCGGGAGAGCAAGUCGACUGUGAAAUCUAUGGGCUUAACCCAUAGCUGCGAUCGAAACUGUUCAUCUUGAGUGAAGUAGAGGCAGGCGGAAUUCCUAGUGUAGCGGUGAAAUGCGUAGAUAUUAGGAGGAACACCAGUGGCGAAGGCGGCCUGCUGGACGGUGACUGACGCUGAGGCUCGAAAGCGUGGGGAGCAAACAGG